GAUGAAGAACGCAGUGAAAUGCGAUAAGUAAUGUGAAUUGCAGAAUUCAGUGAAUCAUCGAAUCUUUGAACGCACCUUGCACCCUUUGGCAUUCCGAAGGGUAUGCUCGUUUGAGUGUCAUUGUACUCUCACACUCUCCGAUCCUAUGGAUUCGGGGAGCGGUGGACUUGGGUGUUGCUGCCUUUCCCUGUGGCUCACCUCAAAUGCGUCAGUGCACCUCUUGGUUGGACAUAGUACGGCGUGAUAAGUGUCUUCGCCGGCACCUCGCAAGAGGGUGGCCGAUCGGGAGCUCUGCGCUUUCAAACCGUCUUCGGACAAUUUCUGACAUCUUGACCUCAAAUCGAGUAGGACUACCCGCUGAACUUAAGCAUAUCAAUAAGCGGAGGA
rnacentral:misc_RNA from 1 species